UCCCGGAUUUUAAGGAUGCAUCGGCUGUAUCCUUCGCGGCCCAACGUAUCCCAAGAUCCUUCACGGCCCAACGUAUCCCUCCCAAGAUUCAUUGCGCAUUCAAUCCAAAAAAUAAAACAAAUAAUGGCGGAGAAUGUGGAUUUGACUUUUUCAUUUAAAUGGAGCAAGGAGCAUACUGCUCAAUUGAUCAAACUCAGGGGGGAGAACGACGAGCUCUUCACCGGGGUGAAACAUUCGGCGAGUGUGGCUUGGGGGUAAGGAAACAAUCGUUUAUUUAUAUCGUAAGUUAGUUUAUAAAAAUUAUUAUAGGCCAUUUGUAUAUCUACAUUUGACCAUCUUGUAAAGGUUAGUUAAAUUAGCCCUCAUUGAAAAGCAGGACAGAUACAACAUCCACAGAAAUCGUUUACUACGAUGUCCUAUUUUGGGUUAUUAAAGAAAGACAAAAAAAAGUCACAGCUCGCAUCAGUACUAGACAGCACUCGAAAAACACACAAAGAAAAAGGGUGUUUUGACUUCUACUGGUUGUCUUAUUAUUAUGGGCUUCAUAUAGGAUGAGGGCUAAUUUAAAUGUAACCUUUACAAGAUGGUCAAAUGUAUGUAUUAUAAAUGGCCUAUUGUUAACAUGGGCUAUUAACAUGAUUGAUAAAUGUGUCUCUUGUUUUCUCUGAUUAAUAAUCUCUCUGUGUUUAGGACAAUUCUGGAGAAAAUAGGCCUGCAGGGGAAUGUGACUCCCCUGCAGGCAAAGAAAAAAUGGGAUAAUUUAAAAAAAAUAUAUAAAGAUUGCAAGUAUCCAGGGUCAGGAGAGGGGGUAGGUGGGAAACCCACUGCUGCCACUUGGCCCUGGUUUGUCCUCAUGGAUGAGGUAUUGGGACAGAGGCAUUCCACCAACCCCCCUGUCCUAAUUGCCUCCAUCCCUGAGGACACACCAGGGCCAAGUACGGCAGUGGUGGAUUUGGAGGUGGAGGAGAAGGAUGAGGAGGAGAGCAGGUCCAGGAGGAAGUCCAGAAAGAGGGACAGAGAGGGCGAAAUGUUCGAAUUGAUUAAAGAGGACAUGAGGCUGAACAGGGAGGCAGAGGAGAGAAGAGCCCAGGAGAGCAGGGAGAGAAUGGACCGUUUUUUUUCAAUUUUGGAGCGUAUUGCUGACAAAUAAUUUCAGUUCUGUUAACAUUGUUUAUUAAUAUUAUUUAACUUAUUUUACUAUUUAUUAUUUAACUAUUUAUUAACUAACUUUUUUAUUAAAUAUUUAUUAUUAACUAAUUUAUUUGUAUAAAACUUA